UUUAUUGGAGAGUUUGAUCCUGGCUCAGGAUGAACGCUGGCGGCGUGCCUAAUACAUGCAAGUCGAGCGAAUGGAUUAAGAGCUUGCUCUUAUGAAGUUAGCGGCGGACGGGUGAGUAACACGUGGGUAACCUGCCCAUAAGACUGGGAUAACUCCGGGAAACCGGGGCUAAUACCGGAUAACAUUUUGAAUCGCAUGGUUCGAAAUUGAAAGGUGGCUUCGGCUGUCACUUAUGGAUGGACCCGCGUCGCAUUAGCUAGUUGGUGAGGUAACGGCUCACCAAGGCAACGAUGCGUAGCCGACCUGAGAGGGUGAUCGGCCACACUGGGACUGAGACACGGCCCAGACUCCUACGGGAGGCAGCAGUAGGGAAUCUUCCGCAAUGGACGAAAGUCUGACGGAGCAACGCCGCGUGAGUGAUGAAGGCUUUCGGGUCGUAAAACUCUGUUGUUAGGGAAGAACAAGUG
rnacentral:rRNA from 1 species